AGGAUUUGCCACACACAGUCCAGAAAGAGGAGGAACACUGGAGCUUCACUCCGCAGCUUCCCGUUUGAGUAUGCAGACUGAGCGCAACGCUGCUGGAAGGGGUGACCGGCCUGAAGGAGAAGGUUACCAGUUCAGAGCGACGGCCAUUGGUUCCAGUAAGUGGCUGCCCUGCUCGCAUCAUCACCUGGGGACAGCAUAGAGGAUAGGCUGAACAGAUCUGUAUCACACAUAUUUUUAUAUAAUAAAAAACACAUAUGACAAAAAGUGAACCACUGACCAUGCCGUUUUUCUUAUGAUAGUAACUAAGCACAGGAAACCGGCCACCGUGGCGGAAGGAAGCAGCUUUGCAGAGGGUUUCAUCAUCAAUAUCUUUGGGCACGGGAUAAAACAAUACCAUAGACUCCAGAUCCUUGAAAACCUCUUCUGGACGGAACAACUGCCAUCCAUCCUCUAUGACCUCAAAGAGAGGACGGUAGAAAAAUGGAUACAUCAGGGAGACAGAGUCAAGCGUUGAAAGAGCCUGAAACACAAACAUAUAACAUGAACACAUCAAAAAGGACAAAUAAAAUUAUUUUCUGGUUA